GUAUCAAAACAGCUUCCACUAAAACAAGGAUUGAAAC
rnacentral:other from 1 species